rnacentral:rRNA from 1 species
GAUGAACGCUGGCGGCGUGCCUAAUACAUGCAAGUCGAGCGAACGGACGAGAAGCUUGCUUCUCUGAUGUUAGCGGCGGACGGGUGAGUAACACGUGGAUAACCUACCUAUAAGACUGGGAUAACUUCGGGAAACCGGAGCUAAUACCGGAUGAUAUUUUGAACCGCAUGGUUCAAAAGUGAAAGACGGUCUUGCUGUCACUUAUAGAUGGAUCCGCGCUGCAUUAGCUAGUUGGUAAGGUAACGGCUUACCAAGGCAACGAUGCAUAGCCGACCUGAGAGGGUGAUCGACCACACUGGAACUGAGACACGGUCCAGACUCCUACGGGAGGCAGCAGUAGGGAAUCUUCCGCAAUGGGCGAAAGCCUGACGGAGCAACGCCGCGUGAGUGAUGAAGGUCUUCGGAUCGUAAAACUCUGUUAUUAGGGAAGAACAUAUGUGUAAGUAACUGUGCACAUCUUGACGGUACCUAAUCAGAAAGCCGCGGCUAACUACGU